rnacentral:lncRNA from 1 species
CUGGAUUUAAGUUGGGUUUCCUUAAGUAAUAGUAAGGGUUCUAAAAAGAUGAAGGUGUGAAGUCUAAAGAGAUGGCUGCUAGAGACGCAAGGCUUCCCACCAUUUUUUUUUUUUUUGGUCUUUCCCGUUUUACAUCUUCACAAUGAAAUAUAAUUUGAUGUUUGCCCUUGUUUGAAUACUCCAUGAAGAUGAGGAAAAUACAUGUUUGUGUCUAACAGUGUCUGGCAUGUGUGAUUUCUAUUGAGAUGGACUCAAUCUCAGAGAUUCUAUUCUCAGCUGUGUCCAGUCUACUGAGAGGCCCAUCAAAGGU